UACGUAGGUGGCAAGCGUUGUCCGGAAUUAUUGGGCGUAAAGCGCGCGCAGGUGGUCCUUUAAGUCUGAUGUGAAAGCCCACGGCUCAACCGUGGAGGGUCAUUGGAAACUGGGGGACUUGAGUGCAGAAGAGGAUAGUGGAAUUCCAAGUGUAGCGGUGAAAUGCGUAGAGAUUUGGAGGAACACCAGUGGCGAAGGCGACUAGCUGGUCUGUAACUGACACUGAGGCGCGAAAGCGUGGGGAGCAAACAGG
rnacentral:rRNA from 1 species